CGCGUAGGCGGCUUUGGCCGUCGGCUGUGAAAGCCCGGGGCUCAACCCCGGAGGUGCAGCCGAGACCCCGAAGCUGGAGGCCGGAAGAGGAGGGUGGAAUACCCAGUGUAGAGGUGAAAUUCGUAGAUAUUGGGUGGAACACCGGUGGCGAAAGCGGCUCUCUGGUCCGGACCUGACGCUGAGGCGCGAAAGCGUGGGGAGCAAACAGGAUUAGAUACCCUGGUAGUCCACGCCCUAAACGAUGUGGGCUAGACGUCGGGGGGCUUGCCCCUCGGUGUCGGAGCUAACGCAUUAAGCCCACCGCCUGGGGAGUACGGCCGCAAGGUUAAA
rnacentral:rRNA from 1 species